AUUAUUUUGGCAGAUUAGUGCAUUAAAUUUAGAAUUUAAUAUUAAAUAUAAUAAAUUUAUAUAAAUAAUA
rnacentral:tRNA from 1 species